rnacentral:misc_RNA from 1 species
AAUUAUUCAAAAAAAGGGUGGGUAAGAAUCUAAACGCAAUAACUGAAGGAUGAGGACCCCGUUUCGGUCCAGCUUUGAGUGAGCAUUUACACCGAUGACGACCCACCAGGGUUUGCAUCAUAGCAUGAACAGCCAAAAGAAUAGCUUAAGUGCAAAACCAAAAAGGUAAAUGGUGUUGACCGAGGAUUUGGGCGAGGAGAUAUUUGCAAGAGAUUAGGCUGAGGAAAGGGAAUGUGGGUCUCAUUUCAGAGUGGGUUUAGAUGAGGUUAAGGAAAG